UACGAAGGGGGCUAGCGUUGCUCGGAAUCAUUGGGCGUAAAGGGUGCGUAGGCGGGGCUUUAAGUCAGGGGUGAAAUCCUGGAGCUCAACUCCAGAACUGCCUUUGAUACUGAGAAUCUUGAGUUCGGGAGAGGUGAGUGGAACUGCGAGUGUAGAGGUGAAAUUCGUAGAUAUUCGCAAGAACACCAGUGGCGAAGGCGGCUCACUGGCCCGAUACUGACGCUGAGGCACGAAAGCGUGGGGAGCAAACAGG
rnacentral:rRNA from 1 species